rnacentral:rRNA from 1 species
UACAGAGGUCGUCAAGCGUUGUUCGGAUUCAUUGGGCGUAAAGGGUGCGUAGGCGGCGCGGUAAGUCGGGUGUGAAAUCUCGGAGCUUAACUCCGAAACUGCAUUCGAUACUGCCGUGCUUGAGGACUGGAGAGGAGACUGGAAUUUACGGUGUAGCGGUGAAAUGCGCAGAGUAAUCAGGAGGAACAGCCGGUGGCGAAGGCGGAUCUCCUGGGUCCUGUUGUGACGCUGGAGGCGCGAAAGGCUAGGGGAGCGAACAGG